AUGUGCCCCCUGUGCAAGCAAGUCCAGGAAUCGGCGGCUCAUCUGCUUUUUAAAUGCCGCUACACGGUUAGAGUAUGGAACAUGAUUAAAGCGUGGCUUGGCCUUCAUGACAUUUACCCACAGAACUGGGCCAUGGUUGACACGGUGAAGAAGUGGUGGAGCGCCAACGCUUCCAACAGGACGCAAUCUCGACGACCGCUUACCUGCCUUAUGUUGCUCGUCUCAUGGGAAAUUUGGAAAGAGCGGAAUGCUAGGGUAUUUCGUAAUGUCGCAGUGCCUGUUGGGGUUUUAGUAGCUAGAAUCAAAGACGAGAUGACGCUAUGGUGUCUGGCCGCUGCGAAACAUUUGUGUAAUAUCAUGCCACGAGAGUGA
rnacentral:rRNA from 1 species